rnacentral:rRNA from 1 species
AGGACGAACGCUGGCGGCGUGCUUAACACAUGCAAGUCGAGCGGAAAGGCCCUUCGGGGUACUCGAGCGGCGAACGGGUGAGUAACACGUGAGCAACCUGCCCCUGGCUCUGGGAUAGCCUCCGGAAACGGGGAUUAAUACCGGACAUGACCUGCUGCCGCAUGGUGGCGGGUGGAAAGUUUUUCGGCCAGGGUGGGCUCGCGGCCUAUCAGCUUGGUUGGGGGGUGACGGCCCACCAAGGCGACGACGGGUA